rnacentral:rRNA from 1 species
ACUCCUACGGGAGGCAGCAGUGGGGAAUAUUGCACAAUGGGCGCAAGCCUGAUGCAGCCAUGCCGCGUGUGUGAAGAAGGCCUUCGGGUUGUAAAGCACUUUCAGUUGUGAGGAAAGGUUAGUCGGCUAAUUAUCGGCUAGCUGUUGACGUUAGCACAGAAGAAGCACCGGCUAACGUCCGUGCCAGCAGCCGCGGUAAUACGGAGGGUGCGAGCGUUAAUCGGAAUUACUGGGCGUAAAGCGCGUGUAGGUGGCUUGUUAAGCCAGAUGUGAAAGCCCC